GGCGACGUGCCCUCCUGCGCAUGCCCCGGUUCUGCCAUUUUAGCUGCCGGGGGAGGGAAUGACCCCCUUUCGGAACAAAGAGGAGAGUUUCAUCAGCGCCACCUAGGGAGCCGAGACGUGUACUGCAUUUUCUAAAGGCGUUUUCUGUUUCCGCUUUUCCUUAAAAACUUUCCAAAAAGGCAUCAUCUCAUCACACCGAACGUGACCAAGAUCUUUCAUCCAAAGCGUCGAACUGUUUCUUGAUAAUGGUGCAUUCCAUGCACCGACUGGUGGCUUAGCUUCCGACACAGAGUAUCUUUGGGGUGGAGUGGGGUGGAUGGCUGAAGAUGACAUAUCAUGUGACCAGGAGCAGGGUUGUACAGCAAGACCAGAUGUACACUGAACGUUGAUGAUGAACUACAAAGAAGGGGAAGUUACUAUUAAACACAGCACACACUGGAUUGGAUUAUAACAUUUUUAUUGUGUUGCUCAGAGAAAUCUGUUUAUG